GCGGAUGUGGCUCAGUGGUAGAGCACAACCUUGCCAAGGUUGGGGUCGCGGGUUCGAAUCCCGUCAUCCGCU
rnacentral:tRNA from 1 species